CCCUCCUACACCGGCGCCGCCCUUACCUCGCGCCGACAGCCGCCCUCCCUCGCGCGCCGGCCUCCUCCACCCUCGCGCGCCGGCCUCCUCCACCCCCACGCUCAGGACGCCUUCCUUCCUCCACUCCGGUCACCUUCCUUCCUCCGCUCCGGUUGCCUUCCUCCUCGCGCACCGGCCUCCUCCCUACCCCGCGCUCUAUCUACCUUUCUUCUCGCGCUUCGGCCGUCUUCCUCCCCGCGCUCCGGCCGCCUUCCUCCCCGUGGUCCGGCCUCCUUCCUCCCCGCAAUUAGUCCGCCUCCCUCCCCACGCUCCGUCCACCUUCCUCCCCGAGAACCGUCCGCCUUCUCCCCUGAGAUCCCACGGCCGUACCACCGCCGGCCAACCCCUCCAUCUGUAAGUAAGGGCACUUGGCCGCCCUCCACGCCGGGGUGGCCCUGCUAGCCAUCAGCGGGGGAAGCGGAGUAGCUGCCAUGGCGGGGGUGAAGACGAGUUCAGGAACAACUUUGGCUUGAGGCUGUGCAAAGACCACCGCCCGUCCCUACCUUACCUACAGGCUCAUGGAGCUCAUGGAGCUCGACCUCUCCUCCGUGGCCUCCGUCUGCAAGUUCGCCGAUGACAUCCUCAUAAAAAAGAACAAUGUGUUACUACCAUGGGAGGCUCCCUGCUGGAUGUCGGCGCCGGAGGGGUAUCCCCGCAGCCAUAGACUUCUCUUCUCUCCUGCAAUGCAAGGUAUGGUACUCACACCAGUUCAAGUAAUGAUGUUGCAACAAGUACAGCUCCUCCCCCUGUCAAGCUUAGUGAGCCAAAAAAGAGCAUGUUGAUGGAUGAUUGCUAGCUCGCUUCAUCAUCGGCAGAUUUUCCCGUCUACUAACUUGUGGGUACUGCCGGAGAUAAGUAGUAGGCGGCAAAGUGUUUUGAAGUAGCACCAAGAUGGGGCAUAAAGCUGGCGAGCAGGUAUGAGCAGCGAGCUGCUACUGCACUUGUGAGGGUACUUCCGGGAAUGAAUCUGGCUAGUUAUAGCUAUUGGUACUAAACUUGUGUGCGUGUGUUAUCUUUGGUAGCUAAUUUUUGCCGUGUGCAACUACUGAACCUGGUGUCCUGCUGCUAUUGAACUGUUUUGAUGCAAAUGUCGCUGAUGAACAUACUUUGUGUAGAAAAAGCUACAAAAAAUCACUUUUUCUGGUUGUAAGAAUUUCUAAACUUGCUCUGGUCUAGCAGUUCAACAAAUAUUGAUGUUUGGUUAAUAUUACCACGCUCUACGCAGCGCUUCCACGGGAUCCUCUGCACGCAGUCGGCGUCUCACCUCACGCCGCCGCACGCCAUCUUCCUUGCUUGUCGGUGUCAUACAGGUUUCUUCGGCCGCCGCCUCGCCCUGACCCAACUAUCUCGAAUUUGCGCUGGGACCGGCCUUCAUCGAAGUUUCUCCCAAUCCUUCGACCUCGUCGUGCCAUGCAGCAUGCUUCAGUUCAAGAAAAAUCUCAAUAAAAGUUCAGAGUAGUUCACACUUCAGUUAGCACCUGGCGUCGGCCGAGGCAACAAUCCCCACCUCCCCUGACCAGAUCCUCCAUGGCCCUCGGCCACGAGCUCGUCCACCAUGGUUACUCGCAGUCGUCAAAGUGGAGCACGGACAUCAGUCCAAGUAGAAUUGAAGCCACCAUCUUCACCAUUUUCUUAUCAUUCUCACAUUAUUUUCUUGGUGAAUUAGCAAUUACUGCUAUUGUAGAAAGGAGCUUGUUGGUGUUUCUGUUUCUUUUUGGUAUGUGUUUAUGAGCAUGUGAGGGCAGUGGACAUUUUGUCCUUCUGAUAAUCUCCUUUAAUAAUAACACACACCUCCUCUUAAUGAGAAGAUGUGCAAAACUUUCCAUGACUCUUAAAAAGAGCCGUUUUGCAUAUGUAUAGUUUUGACCUACUUAAAUAUUGAGCCUACCAUUUUUUAUGAGUACCAUGAGUAUAAUGUUGUUCUUUUCCUAGCUGAGUCCGGUGAAGUACUAACAAUGAGUUUUUUGGUCGGCCUUCCAGAUCUGGAGUGGAAGCUUAUAUAUGUUGGAUCAGCUGAAGAUGAGAACUAUUAUCAGCAAUUUGAGAGUGUGCUUGUUGGCCCUGUGAAUGUUGGGACAUACCAUUUUGUUCUGGAGGUUGUGCAUGUACUAACCAGAAGUCUACCCCAGUUGAGCAAAGAAAAUUCUACAUCAGUUCAGACUAAAAAAAGACCAUAAAUUUAAGAGGAAGAAAAAAAUUAAUGAGAGAAAAAGCUGAGGUGGCUCACUAAAGAAACCCGAGAAAGCUAAAGUUUUGCUGCAUAUCAAACAUGUAGUUGAAAGGUGCAGACUUGGCAGCGGUGUGGUUCGUUCAACAACAGUGCAAUGACAAAAAGAACAUCAGUUCAAAAAAAUUAUGCAGGAGGUUUGGGAGCCAAACAACUGGAGGUUCAAAGAUUGUCGUGGAGCAAGUUCAAGAGUUUGGUUUCAUGUGAAAAAUGUGAUUUUUUGGUCAGGAUUUUGCAUGAUUGAUAGCCAUCAGUGGCAGCCGGCGAGUAGUUCAAGCCCGCAUGCGCGAGCCGCCCAUCGUCUUCCACACGUGAUCCUAUUGCUUGAUGAUGCUUGACAUGAACUCAACAAGAUGGAUGGAAUUUUUGCAAUGUAAUGUAAAUGAAUAUGGUAAACAAAUUGGGACACCAGAUUGUUUUAGAGGUGGAGUUUGUGCUCCAGUUGAGUUGCAGCAGAUUGUGGCUGUUGGUUGUUUCAAGUGAAGGUGGUCGGGUAUUACUUGUGUAGGACUGAAUGAAUCUUGUAUGUAAAGGAAACUGGAUCGAAUAGUUGUCAGUAUUAAGAUUUAAAAUUACAUUUUGAUCCA